rnacentral:rRNA from 12 species
CCUGGCUCAGAAUGAACGAUGGCGGCAUGGAUUAGGCAUGCAAGUCGAGCGAGAACCAGAUCUUCGGAUCUGGGGAAAGCGGCGAACGGCGUAGUAAGGCGUAGGAACGUACCCCUCGGUCGGGAAUAACCACGGGAAACUGUGGAUAAUGCCCGAUGAUCUCUGCGGAGCAAAGGUGAGAUUCCGCCGGGGGAGCGGCUUACG